rnacentral:misc_RNA from 1 species
AAGUAACCAUUGGUUGCACUACAAAUAAUCCCAUUCAGAGGACUAUUUGUGCACCCACAUAAUGAUUGUGAAGCCUCGUUACCACUUAUUUCCUCAACAGGUGUAGGAGGGUGAUUGGCAACAGACACCUCAUCGAGAUGGUUUUCAAGUCCAAUCUGCUCCCCAGAAUACACAUCUUGUAGUCCCCAUGAGUCAUCCACACCAGGCCAUGGGAUGGCCACAGAC